UUGAGCAAAGCACCUCGCCUCUCCCAGAGCAGCCUCACAAUCCGCUAACGCUUUCUGGUCGUAGGACGCCAAAUGCUGUCAGUUGACAUCUCGCCUCCGUCGACCACGGAGCCAACCGCUCUGCUUUACUUUCGGUUGAGACCAUGUGCUGCUGCUGCUGCUGCUGCUGCUCACUGCACUAACCUGUGUUUGGACAUUGCAAAUCGCUACCUUUGUUCGCCAGACCACGCUGCAACUUGAACAAAAGGAACUGCACAUGAAACGUUGUAUCCAAGGUGGCGUGGAAUUUCUUCACAAUUGAAUCACAUGGAUAAUUGAACCUGCUUCUAGUGAUGGAACAAUGACACCUAACUUGAAAGCACACCAAUCUACUGUGAACUUUAGCUUCGAAGUAUUUUUUUUUUUAAAUUGCAAAAGAGGACAAUACUGUUCUGGAAUAUUCAUGUUCAAUAGAUGCACAAACGAGUUGUUGGCUGCUACUUCAAAAGUAUUUAAAAUACAAAGGUGUGCACAAGAGGUAGGUACGGUAUUUUACGAGUAGCCUAUAAUUUCUAUCCUAGUAGGUCAUUAAUUUAUAGUAGACAUAGUGGGCUAUUUAUUUAUUAAAAGGCCCGGCUGCACAAAAGCCUAUGAAAUUUAAUCAUGAUCAAAUGCCACGAGAACCAACCAGACAAAACUUUUUGAAAAGAAGGCUUCUCUAAUUGGUUAAAAUUGAUUGAUUAAAAUUUCAGAGGCUUUUGUGCAACCGGCACUAAUUAUUUUGAGGCGAAAAUUCAUCAACUUUGAAUGUAUUAUUAAGGCUUAAAUAUAAUGUACUGGAAGAGGAAAGCAAUCUGUAAAUUUGUCAAGAACAAUUUCCUGUUCAAUACAGAACGUCCUGCUUUGGAACGUGCCUCAAAAGUGGAAUUCUCUCUUAAGUGAAGUUCCAGAAAAAUUAUUUUCUCCUCAGUGAAAUUUGAAAAGGAGUAUUUCCUCCACAAUAAGACCACAAUUUGAUUUCUCAUUUUAAUUAUCUUCCACAAAUGAUAAUAGUUUUGCUUUCAAAUUAAAGACGAAGUACAAUGCUUCACUUGGGCAAUUUUUUAGAAGUAAAUUUUAAGCCUAGGUGUAGAUGAGGGGAUGGGUGAUAGGUAUUUAGGUAUAUAGGAUGAUAGGUACCUAAUGCAAACGUUCAAUUAUAUAAUGAUUUCAUGAAUGGAGAGAAGAUAUGAAGGUUAUGUACUGUACCAAUGUACCUAAAAUAGCUGUAUUCUAGGUACCUUGUUAUGUACUAUGUGUCAUAUUUUCAAAUAUUUACAGCCCAAAACAAGAAACAAAUUUAAAAUUUACAGAUAUUCAUGAUGAAGGGCUUUCGAGAGAAACAUUAUGGAAGACACAAAUAGGUCAUUCUAGUGAAAAGUUUAAAAUACACAAAGUUAUAAAAUAUCCCUAUUUUGAUAGAAUAUGACUUAUGUUACAUGAAUAAUUUGGGACAAUUUUGGAAGGGAAUCUGAACUGAGAAGCUGUAGUAGUCAUAACCUAUAAUAUUAUAUCAAAGUUUGAAAAAAAAAUAAUUUACGUCUCAGGUUCUUGUCUAUUAAGAUUUCCUCAUACAUAAGUUAUGUUCAAUAUAAUAACAUGAAUAAAAGUUGAAUAAUUAAGUGAUCGGUUUAUUUAUUUGAGUUUUUAAGUUUAUAACGUUUCAAAUAUAGUUAAACGGGAAAUUCUGAUAGAAAAUUAUUCCUGAAAUGUACCUGAGCGAAUUUCAAAGUAAGGAUAAAAAAAUGUGUGUUCUUGAAAUGACAAAAUGUAAAUUGAAAUGUUGAUAAUUGUUGGAAAAAUCCUACUAAAAAUAAAUGAAGACUUAGUAUCAGAUUAUAGAAGACAAAAUUACAUCGAUAUUUAUGGCUGCUGUUAAAGAAAAUACUUUAUCGAAAAUUGAGAACCCUUGAAAUUUAUGGGUUCAGGAAUUUCUCUGACCGUCAAUGAGAAUUUUCAAUUAUUUGAUGAUUUCAUUUUUUUCCAUAAAACCUUUUGCAUUAUUUCCCUUGUUGGAUGCUCAGAAAAUGCUGAAUAUUGAAUGAAUAAAACUUCAAUUUUUUUAAACGUUCUCAAAAGGAUCGUAUAGUAAAGAGAAAAAUUAAACAAGAAAUAACUUGCUGAGACAAAUUAAUAUGAAGAUAGAUUUCUAACAGUCUAAGCAGUUGAAUAAUUUGUUACAGUUCGCCUUAAAAUUUCAAAAUUUAAUAAAAAGCAAGAAUAAAUGGAACAAUAGAAUGUAGAAAAGCUGUCCAAUUCGUUUGAGCGACAGCACUCAUAAUAAAUUAGAAUCGAAGCAAAUAGCUUCGGGACGCGUACUGUAGUGUGUAUGUAAAAUAUGGUUAGCACAUUACAACGUAAUUUCAAUUUAUAA
rnacentral:lncRNA from 1 species